GACGAACGCUGGCGGCGUGCUUAACACAUGCAAGUCGAACGGAAAGGCCCUGCUUUUGUGGGGUGCUCGAGUGGCGAACGGGUGAGUAACACGUGAGUAACCUGCCCUUGACUUUGGGAUAACUUCAGGAAACUGGGGCUAAUACCGGAUAGGAGCUCCUGCUGCAUGGUGGGGGUUGGAAAGUUUCGGCGGUUGGGGAUGGACUCGCGGCUUAUCAGCUUGUUGGUGGGGUAGUGGCUUACCAAGGCUUUGACGGGUAGCCGGCCUGAGAGGGUGACCGGCCGCGUUGGGAAGGUGCCACGGCCCAGGGUCGGGUGGAGGGGGGCAGUGGGAAAAAGUGCGGGGGGGGCGGACGGGUGGAGCAGGAUGGACGCGUUAUGGCUGCUGGCGGCCGGGUUGGAAACCGCGGUCGCGUGGGAGGGAGCGGGGGGGACGGUAGGGGGAAAAGACGCACCGGCUAACUCGGCGCAAGCAGCGGCGGGAAUAGACGAAAGAGCACACGUCUGGUC
rnacentral:rRNA from 1 species